AGCGAACGCUGGCGGCAGGCUUAACACAUGCAAGUCGAACGGGCGUAGCAAUACGUCAGUGGCAGACGGGUGAGUAACGCGUGGGAACGUACCUUUUGGUUCGGAACAACCCAGGGAAACUUGGGCUAAUACCGGAUAAGCCCUUACGGGGAAAGAUUUAUCGCCGAAAGAUCGGCCCGCGUCUGAUUAGCUAGUUGGUGUGGUAACGGCGCACCAAGGCGACGAUCAGUAGCUGGUCUGAGAGGAUGAUCAGCCACAUUGGGAC
rnacentral:rRNA from 1 species